AACCUUAUGGACCUGCGGGCGUAUACCUGCGGAAGGAUCAUUAUUGAAUACUCUUGAUGAGUUGUAGCUGGCUCUGUGGAGCAUGUGCACGCUUGUCUUGAUUUUAUUCAUCCACCUGUGCACCUUUUGUAGUCUUGGGGGUUGAAAGCAGUCGACUAUCGGAUGGCUAUGGCUUUUCCGGAUGUGAGAAAUGCUGAGUGCAUAGACGCAUACAGCUCUUCUCAAAUGACUUGCAAACCC
rnacentral:misc_RNA from 1 species